rnacentral:lncRNA from 1 species
GCAGGUGUUAAAUGACCAAUCCAGAUCCCCUGCACCAUAUAAAUGUAGGUGAUACCAGAUUAACAAGUUCCUAACUUUUUUUUUUUUAAGUUUAAUUUGUUGCAUGUUCUAAAACUGAUUAAUGACCCCUUCCCCUUUUCCUGAAAUUAGUCUGGUGGUAUUAACUUACUCAUUCAACAAGUGUUUCUUGAACAUCUAUCUAUCACAGGCAGGUACUGUUUUAUGAUCUGGCCAAAUGAUGAUGGCUAAAACGGGAGCUGGUCCUGUGCCUGUCUCUAAGCAGAAUUUACACUUACCGGCACUUAAUUGUUAAAGCACUAGAACAGUUCUAGUGUAUCCACAGGGUAUUAUGCCUGUGUAUUCUAAAAACUGUGACUUGGGCCUGCUUUCCUCCCCACCCACCCUCCCACCAAGUAGUCUGCAGGGACAUUUAAGCUACUCGUUUUGUAUUUAAAGGAAGGAGGAAAAAAAGAGAAAGGAAGAAAAGAAUCCAAAUAUGGCUGGCUAAAAUCUUUUCCAAUUGUGGGUUGUAAACAUUUUUCAGAGAAAUAUGCUUCACUUUGAGUAGCUAGUAAAGUGUGACACAGGUUUGUUUUAAAGCUUCCUUUAGGGAGGGAGAGUUAAAAAAAAAAAAACGUAGUGGCAGGUCAAUGUCUGGUUUAAAAUAUGUGAUUUCUUUGCCCAAUCAGGGACAAACACGACCUUCUGUAUAAGUGAAAUCCAAUGUGUCGUUUCAUUGCAUUUUCUACAUCCUCAGACAAAGGCCUAUAUUCUUUAGGAAGCUCACCAAUUAUAGGCCUAAUACAAUGACACUGCUCUCAAGGCUGAGAACAAACAAGGUUGAGGAAACUGGGAGGUGAGAAAAGGCAUCCAAGGCCAGGGUCAGCCUCAAAACCCAAACUCACGGUUUCCCAAAACUGGGGUCAAACACUCAGCUCCUAGUGUGUGCCAGGCAAAGGCAAGCCUGGGGUAAGAGCGUUCACAUCAGGACCACUGAGGUUUCUUUUUAAAGCUGAGUUUUCAGGGUUCGCACUGGAGUCUGAUCCACGUGACUGAGCACUCAGGCUGUUAAUCAUUUCCUUUGCUGCCUGAAUGGAGGCAAGCAAUUACUGCUUGUGCCUUAUUUCCACAACCCAAGUCCUGCCUUGUGUCUGGGGCACAUUACCAAAUAAACUUUGAUCAACACUAAUUCUAUCCCUUACUUUACAAGAAAAAUGCUAUAAAUGGGUGGCUAGAAAGCAUCAUAUUUUCAGGAAUUUUCCCAAGUAACCUGACUAGUUUUCUUUUCUAAUUACUCUUGCCCUCAACAGUCUGGUAGAUGACAUCUGAGAUAGCACAGCAUAUUCCGUCCUUGACACAGUCUGACAGCACAAAGAAAUCUGGCACUUUGCAAUGAAUUAUUAAUGUGCACAAAUAUUGUAGCAUGUAUGAGAUGGGGACCAGCAAAAGGUGAAGUGCUAGUUGCCAUGACACCAGUCAGUUCAAGCUAAGGUUCGUGAUCUUUAACUUUGUCUCAAAGAGUCAUUAAAAGAACAUAAAGGGCAAAUCUAAAAGCACAUCCAAACGGCUUAAGUAUAAAUUCAUGCGUCUGCCACCAUCAGUGGAUCUGAGAGGGGCAACUCAGAUAACUCACUGAACACCUGGACUGCUGUGUGAUCUCCACUCAGGACGGAUUACCUAGAUCAGAAGUUACCACCCAAUACAGGGGGCUCUAAAGAAAGUGCAGAGUUAUUAGCUGGUGUCAGUGGUGGCUGGCAAAGUUAGCUAGAUGCUUAACCCGAGUCGGAGAACUGCGCUCCGUCGCUGCGUCCUUCUGUUCAAAUGUCUGCGAAACAGAGGACAUGUAGUUCUCCAUCAGGAAAAAUGGCUGACUCUCAAUCUAGGGGGUCUCAGAGUCAGUAACCAAUAUACAUUCAUUGGCAUUGUCGGUGGGAGAAUUUAAAGUUGGAACAGAUCUAGGGAGUAUUUUAUCUGCAGCAAGAGAUAACUCUUAUCUCUGUCUCCUGCGUCUGUCUAAAAAGUGUGGAGACAGACCUUUGAAUACUCAUGAGUAAUUUUAUCACAUGACUCCAAUACCAUAAUUGGCCACGAGCUGAUGGGGUUGUUACUGCUGACUAAAAAGAAAAAACAAAGGAGGGAGGAGGACAUUCACAUGGACACUGACAUUCUUAUGAAACAUACUUAAAUCUAAUAUUGCUACAGCUCCUCGAGGUUCUUCAGAGCACUGGGCACUUUGAAAGAUAACUGUAAAGGUCAUAUUUAUAAUAUAAACAAGAAUUCCUUAAACAGAAGUGUGACUGGACACAGACAUGACAUGUCAUAUCUCGAGAAAUCUUUGAAAGUUAGGUUUACGCCAAAUUAACUUCCAACAGUUGUAACCCUCCAGAUCAUUCCUGGUGCUCUUAAUGACACACAGCAACACACAGCCUGUGGCUGCACUGUCAGGACAAAUUAGCCUAAAGUUCGACAAAAGGGAAUGUGAAGAAAUGUGGUGUCUGGCAAAGCCUGGCUUUUGAAAUUUCGAGACUGAUGACAUUUUAAAGGUGUAGGUAAAACACCUAGAAUGUGUUUUCCAUAUUUGCAAGCCAUGCCAGGUUAAUGGACACUAAGGGAAAAGCAAAGUUAAUUUCUCACAGUAGGAAAAAGGCCUCAUGCCAUAUUUUUGUGUGUUUGUAUAACUGUCUUACGGUCAAGUCCAGAAAAAGCAUCUUUGAAAAAGAAUCAUUUUAAAGUGUUUAUCUCUCAUGUGAACACCAAAAAACAGAAGACUUUCAUUUGUAAAGAAGGUCAUAAAUCAUAUUUUGAUGGGAAAAGGAUUAACAUCAUCAGCACAUAUAAAAUAGUAAGGCUUUUCAGAAUCCUCAAAUUAACAGCAGUGUAUACACAACUUGAAAAAAAAAAAAAAAGAAAAGUACAGUUAAGACUCCACUGCACAAAGAACACCUAACUGGACACCCUCACGGCCCCUCCACCUGGUGCAAGAACUCUACUUGCUGUUCUGCUCCUUCUGCCUUUGUCGCCUCCUGGAGUAACUUAUCUUUAUCAGAAUCACAAAGGAACAUACUGCUUAUUUACAAGGCUAAAAUGACAUCUGGUGGCACUCUUCUCUGAAAACUCAGUCACUGCUCCUGGAAAACUAUGAUUCAGUAGUACAUACAAACUAUUGAAGGCGCUGUGAAAAUAUAGUGAGCGCAGUUAAAAAGGCUAAUAGGAUAAAUAUUUCAGCAUGUUUAAAGAUUGAAAAACGGUGACAUACCCCCCCAAGCUAACCUGGGAAAGGAACAUAUGGCUAAAUACUCUUAAUUCUGUAGAUUUACAGGUAUCUGCUUGGUAAAUAUACUGACCACCAAACUUAAGCAAUUUCACUCUGACCACAGAAUGUGAUAGUUGAAAGUUUUCAUUACAAAAUUAUCUUUUAAAAAAUUUUAUUUAUUUAUGUAAUCUCUACAUCCAACAUGAGGGCUCGAACUCACGACCCUGAGAUCAAGAGUUGCAUGCUCUUCUGACUGAGCUAGCCAGGGGGCCCCACAAAAUCAUCUUUAACUAGGAAGUAAAAACUAAAUCUGAACUUGCUAGCAAUAUAUUGAUUAACUCUAAAUCUUUUAGUUUCACUUAACAGCACAAAUUCUGAAAUCAUUAUAAUUGAAUGACAGCUUUUUUUUGUUGUUCUUAUUUGGUGUGUUUGUAGAGACAGGAAAGUCUCCAGACAAAUUGUGCAACAGAGCCCCACGAUACUGAAGCCUGGAACUAAUCUCGGACUUAACAAAACGUUCAUCAAAAUCUCUUAUCAGAUUGACACAAAACAUUCUGUCUUUAGCUAUAGAAGAGAGGCUAAAGAAUAUGUCAUAACUGUUGAAUGCAUACCAAUGUUACAUCUACUGUCCUUUUUGUUAUUAUUUUGAGGCUAUGGGGAUUAGUUUAACGUUUGAAGGCAUCAGCAGUUAAUGCUUAACACACAUGCACUAGUACAUUCCUACAGUUGCCCUGCAACCAAGAAGCUAAUAAAAGAGCUGGGCUUUUCAAAUGAACACCUAGAUGAUGACACCAUGAGUUAUUCAGCAAAAAUAAAUGCUUCAUUAACUUGCCUUCCCACUGUUAAAGCAUGGGAUGAAUCUACCCCAAGGCAGCAACUCACACAUCAACAUUCCCUUGCAUUUUAGGGUUUGCUAUGCAGAAAUGCUGGAAAGGAGGUAACUUAAAACUCAAUCUGUCUGUAAAGUACACUGGUCUUUGGAGUCCACAUGGUCCCAACUGCCAAUCAGCUAACCAUCCUUAUUACUUGACCUCUUUGAAUCUUGAUUUUAACUCAUUUGUGAGACAAAAAGAGAAGGUUCUCCAAGGUUUCUUUGUUCAAAAAUGUUACGGCGACUUAUAUCCAAUAAUGCUUUCUUCGAUUCCUACCACACAUCCGAAAUACAAGUUGUAACACUGAGGUAUAACUUGCAUAAGACUCUCGUAAAUGACUCAAUACGGUAUCAGUUCCAUUAGUGUAGAUGCCAGCAUCUGGUAAGCAGUAAAAAUCUAUUCAUUAAACAUUUAUAUGAUGUCAUGACUGUGCCUUUUAAAAUAAUGGAACUUGAGUUCAAACCUCUUACAUAUUAACAAAAUUACACAUUAUCUGCAAAACAUUGUUUUUCUGUGUCUCGGUUAAACUCAGGGAAGCUUGGUAUGUUAAAAGAAACUGAACGCUGAACACUGUUCCUGAAGUGCUGUCUUCCCUGACCCUCCCCCUGGCCGAGUCCCAGAUGAUCAAAGGAGUGUUCCAUGAUCUCCUUCAAGCUCAGGCCCCUUUCCCUAUUUAAUAACGCUUUACAGAAUGAUGAAAAUAACCCACAAAAUUGCAGCCAAAUAGUCUGCUAAACAUGUUGUCAUUAAUCCCUUUGCUUUGCCCCAAACUCAGAUCGCAUCUCAGAACUUGUAAUAACGACAGAUCUUCCAAAGGGCAGAGGCCCCGCUUCUGCUCUAGUGACUACUAACCACUUCCAGGAGGGAUAAACACUGCACACACAAGCUCAGCCACUGCUCAGGCCCUCUGUAGGGGCCGGACUCCUUUGUCCCUCUGCCCCCAUUCCAACAGCAUGGCCCAGCAACGUCCCCGUGAUCACCCUUCAUCAUCCUCUGUAUUUCGUAUGUGUAAACAGUUUACAUCCUCCCUUGCUUCCUAGUUUGCUUACGGUGGAAUCUUCAAAAAUAAUAAAAUCGUUACGUAAGUAAAAAAUAUAAUCAAGAAGUUACUCCUGAAAACUUAUUCUGAAGUGUGCACUGUAACAACAUAGAAUUUACUCAUUACAGAUGAGGGUCUAUGAGGUCUCUAUGUUGUGUGAGGCACAGUUAAAGAGAAAACUUUCGUCAACAUCUGAGGGAACAUGCACGUUAGCAAAUCAGGUUCCAUGCUGAUGACUGUUUCUAAGCUUUAGUUCUCGUAGUGUAUGAUUUUUCUGGAUUCAGAAGGCAUUUUGGACUUAAAAAAAAAAUCACAACUUAAAUUUGGGCUCAAAAGCCCAUCAGUUGUAGCUUAUAUGUCAGUACCUUCAAACUACCACUCCACUACUAAAUUAAGAGAUAUCUUCAAGGACAAUGAUUGCCAAUCCAGUAACUGGUCUGGUAUAUUCUAGCUUCAUCACAGAAGACGGCACUAAUCACUUCUCAAUCACAACUCUGGCAAAACCACCUAAACCGUUCCUAAAUUGUGAAAACUAAAAAGGAAGACCUCCUCUUAGGUACAGCAGGUGUCUGAGAAAUCAUGCCCUCCAUUAUCUGAUACUGGAUGCUAGUGAUACGCCAGGGGCCAGGAGCGGAGAAAAGGGGCAUGCACAACAGGCAAGGUUGUAACUUAUCCUGGGCAGCUCUUUAAUGCAUGGUCUUCAUUUUGUUUUGUGACUCUUAGGGCUUUGGAAACUCCAUCCUGGGCACGGUGACCAAGGGGAAUAGGGAGCAAAAGUGCACCUGCACUCUUCCUUUUAGAUACUGGACCGGAAUUAAAAAUAAUAAUAAUAAUAAUAAUAAUAAACCUAGAGUAAGAUUGGAACACAGAGUGUGUGGUCUAGCAUUUUUCUUGUCUGGGAGAUUUCUAAAGGGCUGAUUAGCUCAGGAAAGAAAAACAAAAAGGCAGGGUAAGGAGAAUAUUGAGAAAGUGAGAAGGAAAAUGUGUAUUCAAGACCGGUUCCUCCUCAAACUUUGAUGUGCCAAAGAAUCACCCGGGAUCCGAGUCCAAUACAGAUUCUGGCCCAGGAGGUCUGGGAGGGGGUCUGAGAGUCCGCUUUUCUAAUGUACAAUCUGCCAGAUGAUGCCAUCACUGCCACUGCUCUGAACACAGGCUGAGCACAGGGUUCUAGCGAGAGCUAGGGAAUCUGUCUACUCUAAACCUCAAGGGGCUUCAGAUCAAUUUCUCCUACAAACUCAGCAGAAUUGGAAGAUUAAGUUUGCUGCCCUCUAUCCUACCCUCACUCUCUGAACCGGGAUAUUAGGGGUUGGGAAGCCCCACUCUCCAUACCAUUCCAUUCUUGUAAGAUAAAGCCUGGUUCAAACCAAUGUCAAGGGCUCCCAGUGCUUUCUACAGACAACUAUGAGAGUUUAUGGACUGAUUCUCUGUAUAUUUGCCUUGGAUCCAUUUUUAGCAGUGGCAAGCCCUUCUGUUGUCGUUUUGAAUGUUAAUGUAUGUUAAAAUCUGCUACUCAAAGUGAUGGCAUGAGAAGGUGGGGCCUUAGGGAGCCCUCAGGAAUGGGAUCAGUGCCCUUCUAAUGAAGGCCCCAGAGAAACCCUUCCGCCAUGUGAGGUUUCAGCAGACAGCUGUCUAUGAACCAAGAAGUGGGCCCUCACCAGAUGCCAAAUCUGUUGGCACCCUGAUCUUCUUAGACUUGUAGCUUCCAGAAUUGUGAGACAGAAAUUUCUGUGGUCUAUAGCCCAUGCAGUGUAUGGCAUUGUUACAGCAGUGCAAAUGGACUAGGACAACCCCUUAGCCAUUAGAACAGGCUCCCAAACAGAGACCUAGGAGGCUUCAAAGUCCUCUCCCUGCAUCCACAGAGGCUUUGAAGGCUCAGCUUUCAAGACCAGGAAUUUAGGCCCAUUCCACCUCAGCUUUUAACUUUUCCAUUUUUCACAUUUACCUUUCUGAAGCUUUCAUGCUUUGGUAAGCCUAUGAAAAAACCCCACCUAGGAAAACAUCAGCCCUUUACAAAUCAGAUGCUUGGGCCAGAAGUUUGGACAACAGCAGCUGGGCAAAACUGCAUAAUUUUGAAAAUCCAUGAUUAGCAUUUCCAAAGGCAAAGCUUAUAGAGUUAUCUGGAAUUCUAAUCCUGUAAGAUUAUUACGUAACAGAAUAAAAGUUUUACAUUUUCCAGGAGAUAAGCUUUAAAACAACACCAACAAAAAACAAAACUCAAAUCAUCCUGUUACUGACACUUUAUGGUACCAAGUAUUUCUAGAACUUUGUGUAGCCAGUCCUCAUAGAAGUGCCCCAUUUAUUUGCUACCUUUUGUGUCCAGCUUGUCAAUGUCGACAUGUGAACCAGAAAAAGCAAGGAAGCCAAGUGACUGAGAAUAUCCUACAGUCUUCUCAAUGAGGUAACCAUCUCAGAUGCAAACCAUGGAAAAUUACAGAAAAGGCAGGGAAAAAACACAUGAACUGGGCUUUAGUAAUAAAAUUCUGAUGAGGUGCUGGUUCUUUAACCUAGAAUUUUACAUUCUUGUCUAAUUUAUGGAGCAAACUUUCUGGAGAUAUUAAGCUAGGGUUCAUUAGUCAUUGCUAAAAGAACUAAGCUAGUAAAAAAAAAAAAAACAAUCAGCAUUUGAAGGGGGAUUCUUUCAUAAGUGACUCACAGAAGAAAAUUGACAAGGAGCUUUGAACCGGUGGCCCAGCUAAGUAUUUGUAGAAGUUCUAAACUAAAGUCUUGGGAUGAGGGUCUGGGUCCUAGGUUCUUCUUUCCCCAGGGGUGACCUUAGGCUAGUCCUAUAAUCUCUCUCAGUUUGUUUCCUCAUCCAUAAAAAUGGGGAUAAUGGCUCUCUUUAAUUCAGGGUUGCUUUGAGGCUCAAAUGAGAGGAGAGUGUUUAUGAAAGGGUCUGUAAAAUUUAAGUGCUAUAUAAAAGUAUAGUAAAUGCACUCAAGACUCAUUAAGCAUAUAUUUACAGGCUAUUUUGGUUACAAGUGCCAUCUAUUUUUGGUGAUGUUGUUUCUUCAAGUUCCUGCAGUUCCUGGUUCUUACUAUGUAUGGCUCCCAGGCCUCCCUGCCCUCCACACAGCACCAGACCACGCUUCCGGCAAAAUGCCAGUAGCUGACCACCAGAAGCAGCCUCAAAACCAUAUUGCUAAGCAGCUGUUUCAAUUGCCCAGCCCCUUCCGUUCAGAACCCUAGAUGCUGCUGGGAAACAACAACGCUUUCCAGUAACACCUCUCCUCUAACCCUCUCUCCUCCAGUCCUCUUUUACUAGGAGCAGAAACAACCGCUGAAAAUAUAAAUUACGACACCUGACAGAGAAGAGUCUAGCAAACAUAAAAAUAUUAAAAGUUAGUACAGAACUAUUUUAAGAUAACUUAUUAUACCUGAUGUGUCUUUUUCCCAAGAGAUAAUAGAACUAUCUCGUCUUUAAAAACCCUUGAGAAGUCAGUAGGGGGCAGUAUGUUAAGUGCAAUUUGCAGGUGGGAAAAUUCAGGCUUUGAAUUUUAAGUUUCAGUUGUCCUCAAAAUACCCAUGUGCUUACAUAAGUUAUACCACAAAUAUUUUCCCAGUUACACUGAUUUGGGAAGUGUUAUUUUGAGCCCCAUUGUUUAGAAUAACACUAAGAAGCUGAACCUUGUUAAUAUUUAAAAAUUCCAGUACUAAGCUAUUUGAAAGAAAGGCAAGAAAAAUUCACGUUUUUAUGCAAGCAGCAAAUGAGAGAGAAACAGCACGGUUUCCCCAAACCAAACCAAGCAAAACAAAAAAAGCAAGACAACAACAAAACCCCCACAAAAAACAACCUUCACAAUAUUAACACCAUGGCCAUCUUUCACGCAUCAUUUUGUGUGAUCUUUGAAAGUUUCACAGACCAAGUAAUGUUUUGUUUCCAAAUGUGAAUUCAUCGUAAGUGGCUUGUCAGUUGGGCUAAUUUGACAGCACUCAAGGCUGCGGCAGUAAUUGCCCUGACUUGUUAAAUAUUCUAGCAGCAUUUGCUGCAGUGUUGAAAGUUUUAUGAUCAUUAGGAGAGGAUAUUCAGUUUUUUCCCUGUGGUUCACUUAAUUUUAGUCUCAGAGCGUUUAGGAAAAUGGUCCCUGACAGGUGUGAACUUGAUUUCUAAGAGAAUUGACAAAUAAAGUAAAAUGAAAAAGGAAUCUAAGAAUGGGCCAUGCUGGGUAAGAUCAAGUGAAAGAUGUAAGUGUUCCCUGUGUUGAAAGGCACACCCUCCAGGGCUGGGAUGGCAUAAGCCUGCAAACCCAGGCUGACCGGGACCCAAUGGCUGGCCAAAUGUGUCAAGGUGACUGGGAUUAAAUCCUACAGCCCUGCUCUGACAACCUGUACUCCAAACAGUGGUAUCUUAAGUGUGAGGCCACAAUAUAGCGAAGUUCUCUAAGGCUGGCCCACUCCAAAGACUGCCUGUACACUCUACCUGUCCACUACAGAUUUUCAAAGAAAGAAUUACGAGAUACCACCCUCUGAGUUAUUUUCCCAUUAUGCUUACAAGAAGUCUCAGCCUAAAAGGAAUCUUUAGGUCAGAUGAUAAUAGAAACCAUAAAGGGUUAGGUCUUUGAAUAGCUAACUCCUAUAGUAACUUCGGAGAUUUAAAAAAAAAAAAAAAAAUCAGUAAUUAAACCAAGAGAGAUUAACACAUUUUAAUCUGAUCCCUAGAGUUCCAGGCUCAAAACAUUGGAUUUAACUCAUUCAGUUGAUACAGGGAGUAGUUCCCGAUUUCUUAAGGACUAUCAGAGUUUGUCAUACUCCAAAGAUUAGCUACAAAAGGCCCUUUAUCUUGGGAAAAUUACCGCUUGUAUGUGCACAAGGAAAGAAGAUACAAAUCCACCCUGCCAGGACACCCCCUAGUGGAAAUUCAGCAUAGUACAUACAAUUUGGGGUUCCAAAAACAUCCUGGGUAUUUAGGACUUAACACAGUGGUUCAAAUGAACUUUUUCCAGUCCGCUGGCUAUAAAUACACCAUAGUCAUGAGCCUUAUUAUUCAUCAAGCAUUCCAAAUCAAGAAAACAAACAUGUCAUCUAUACAUCUAUCCACGUAGGCAGGUAUCUGAAUUAAACAGAGGCAUACUGGCUACUUAUAAUUGAACGAAGCUUAAUUUUGGUUUCUGAAAGAAACAGAACAGAAAUUUUAGAUGAGUCUGUUAAUAUUCUUUAAUUCAAGGAAAAAACAAAUAAAAAGGGGUUCCCUACUUUAAAAAAUUAUUCUAAGUCCCAAGUGAGGUUAUUAAACUUCUUGAAAGGAAUUGUAUUCAAGUUAACUAAAGUCAAUUCACUAGAAUUUGCCAAAGAUCUUAAAAGUCUGAAAAACGGUUAGGGUAAAAACAAAUUUAAAGGGAGAGAAUAAAUGAGGAGAAUACGAGCAGUUAAGUAUUUGGCCACAGGGUUUGUAGCUCUUCCGUAGGCCCCAGUGACCCAAUCCUGCAAUGAACAGCAAAGGACACCACCCAGGCACACUCCAUUCUAGCUUUUUGAACAAGCUAUUCAAUCAGUGUUAACAUUAGCACAGGUUAAAGAAUGCUUUCACUUUGACAUGUCCUGUAGAUUAAUUUCUACUUGGGCAGAUAACGGAUAAAGCCCUAGAUGAAGAAAUAAUGAGGGAGAAAAGAACAAACAUCAACUCCGCUUCCAGGAAUCGAGAUAACAGGACAUAAUCAAACAAGAGUGGGCCAUUCCCUGGAUGGAACUUUAAACUAUUCUACAAGGACUACACCCUAAUAUACAAAGAGACUAUUAAGUUAACACAAAAAUAUUAUGAAUAUUUUUUCCUCUCUCAGGAGUAGUGAUACAUUUUGUCUAAACUAUUCAACUUCUUUUGUCUCCCAGGACUCAAAUGGUAGACAGCGGAGCGCUCAGGGCUCCAUCAAGGCACAGUGCGGUAUCCAGCCCUGUGGGAGUUUUGGGUUGACCAGGAGAUAUGAUAGAUGAUGAGUUUGGAAGGCAGGUGGAAAUCAGCUUUAGAAGAUCUAAGCUGCCAUGCUAAUAAGCCUGGACUUCAUGCUGUGAACAAUAUGGUCACCCAAGGGUUUGGGGUAGCAUAAUCUUUAAGCAGGCACAUAACAAAUUCAAGUCUGCUAAGAUAACCCUACGUUGAAGAGCAAAGGCUGGGAACAGGGAAAGAAGUUCAGAGACUCCUCCCAAAGUCCAGGCAAGAGGUGAUGGAAGCACAUGGGAUAAGGCAGGACUGGGAAGGAGGGGAUCAAAGUACAUGGUAGCAACAGAACAGUCAGGACUCAUGAAUGCGGGCAGGAUGGAGAAUUAAAGAUACUGCUGAUGUUCCCAAGUUUGGCACUGGCCACACCAGGGAAUUCAAGAAGGGGCAAAAAGAAGUGAGCUCAGUUUUGAGAUGUGUUGAUUUUAGGGAAUGAGUGGAACAGCCAAGACAGGUGUGUGAACUUGGGAACUGUGUUAGAAAUCAGAUGAAGCCAUUGAAAUAAACAGAUUACCCAGCUAGAGGUACACAGUGAGAAGAGGUCUGAGUAUGCAAUCCUAAUCAUUACAUCUCAGAAGCAGGGAGGCCAGGAGGACUGGGAAGACAAGAGAAGCAGGAAAAAGUGGGCUUUUUAUGGAAACUAAAGAUGAGUUUCAGAGAUGGUUAACAGGAUCACAUUCUGUAGAAUGAUCAAGCUGCACACUGGAUUUGGCAAUUACGGGAGCACUAUUACUUCUUCAUAUGAUAUUGGUUACUCAGCAAUAUUUCUCUGAACAACUGAGGUAACCAGACACAGAUUAAAACAUGUAUCUAAAAUAUUGGAAAGAUUUUUAGAGGAUGGUUCUCUGCUCAUACCAGUUAUGUAAAGUGAUGUUUUAUCAAGUCAUAGAUACUGAUUUCUAGUAGCAAUAGAUUUGGGCCUAGCAUGUAACAUACCGAACAUAGAAACUCGAUGUUCGAUGGGCAUGUGAUCUUAUUCUAUGUUAGGAAACAAGGCUAUGAAAUGACCCUCUUAGGGACACAGUCCCAAGUACCUGAGUGGUUGCUACCUAAGAGAUAUUCUGAAGUGGGCUCACAAGAAUUAAUAAGAUAGAGUAUUCACACCCCAGGUCAAUUUGCAGUUCAGUUCAAGACCUAAAAAAUCUUUAUUUCUAAAGCUCAAACAUGAUACUUAUGCAUGUUAUUUAUUUAACAGACCCGUUCUAUCAGAGACUUAAAAAUUGGCCAUGAAUUCCAACCUUUUAGUAGCUAUUGUAAGAUAGGAAAAUAAUAUUUUAUAAAACAUUUGGUAUAACAAUUCUUAAUAUUAUGGUUUGAAGGAGGAAGUACUAGCCUAGUAGUUUUAUAUGAACACUUUAGAAAUGAUUUUUUUUUAAAUUCUAAACCUAAGAGGACUUGAACAAAACUAGGUUUCUCUAACCAGAGAACAAUACAGUAUUUGAGAUUAAAAACCAGUAAAUCACAUAGGAACUUAAACACUAAUGAUUAGGGACCAUUCAUGAGAUAUUAGGUACUACCAUAGCACUAAUGUCUUUAAGUGCUACAUUACUCAGAUCUAGGUGGUGGGCUUUUACUUUUCCUGGAUGGAUUUUAACUAAAUAGACUUUAGACAUUUGGAUAUAGAUAAAUGCCUAAUUCAGUAAUUAGUAUUUUAAAACUGUGAAACCUUUUAAGUUAAGUGGUCUAUUAAUUAACUACCAAUUAUCUUGUCUGACUACCGUAUCAAUAGAAGUAAAUUACCGACUAGCUAUUUGACAGAUUUAGCCCUUUACCAUGCAAAAUUUCUGCAGAACAUAAAAGGCCUGGAGUUAAAUGCUUUUGCUACCCCCUUUUGGUUAAUCAGGGAUCAAUUUGCUGCUCACGUAUAAAGGCCAAAUGCAGCUCUCUGGUCAAAAAGGAUCUAUAGAUAAACUAUGUCUCGCAAAAACAGCAAGCCAAGAUUGGACUCCUCUUAAAAAAAUAACAAGUGAAGCAACAUUAACGUUUUGGGGGGAAACAUGGGUUUGUAAUUCCUGUAUGGAGGCCAACCUGCCAUAUUUCAGAGGAGUCUAGAGAGGUAUUUUCAAGUUUUUGUAUCACACAGAGAUACAGAGGGAGCCUAAGUGAAUGUUUUCUGUGAUUAUGCCCCAAUUAAUGUGCAUCGUAUUGCAUACAUUCUCCUUGGUCUUGUCCUAACCAUGAAUGUCGCACAACAGAUUAUACUGACUAGAAUCCAUCCCAAAUCUAUCACUUCUUAACUGGUGACCAAGAGAAGGUUCCUAGGAGAGCUGCUGGUGAUGGAAGAAUACUGGACGAUGAAGGAUCACAGGACACUGGAGGGCUGUGCAGAACAAUGGCAAGUACUGUGAAAACUUCCAAUUGCUUACAAGUACAGACUACGAGGUUAAGAAUCAAGGAAGGAACACAGGAAAAAUCCUCUCCUUGAGGCCCAGCCAUUAGGAAAUAUGAAUGGUUGCCAUAAAUUCAAUUGGAGCUUGAUUCAAAUUGGUUUAUCAACACCGGCCUUCUCACAGUCGCUAGCCUUGCACCAAUGAGCAGAGUUAAUAUACUACAGUAAAUACGAGCACACAGGCGAGGCCGGGAGAAUGGAAAAGUUGUAUAGGAAAAAAAAAGGAGAUACAAACAAUUAUGAAUGUGAGCCAGCCCCAUUUUGAAAUUUCCUCAAUCUUAUGCAGCUUGAAUUAGUCCAACAUAAUGCCUAUUACCUUUUGAAAUUUCAGAAGACAGGUCCCUGUGAGUAUCCUCUGAGUAGGCUAUCUUCUAAAUAUUUAAGCAGAAGUCUAGCCUAUACUAUCAAACAUUUAUUGAGUGUUUAUUUAGUCUCAGGAGUAGAGUUCUAUUGCAGGCAGGGGAAAACAAAUAGAAGUAUAUAACAAACUGCCUUCAGAAAGCUUGCCAUCUAUUUCAGAAUUUCAGGGCACAAUGCGUAAAAAAUUACACAAAAGAGCAUGUACUGUGCCACAAAGGAGGAGAAUUAAGAGAUGUUGCAAGAGAUUAAUAAUGGCAAGAAGAGAGGGGCACCUGGGUGGCUCUGGUGUCUGACUUCGGCUCAGGUCGUGAUCUCCCGGUUUGUGAGUUCGAGCCCCACAUGGAGCUCUGUGCUGGCAGCUCAGAGCCUGGAGCCUGCUUCGGAUUCUGUCUCUCCAUCUCUCGGCCCCUCCCCUGCUCAUGCUCUGUGUCUGUCUCUCAAUAAUAAAUAAACGUGAACAACAAAAAAAAUUUUUUUAAUAAUGGCAAGAAGAGAAAAAGCUUUAGACAAGUCAUUUAACUGCAGCUUCAUCAGAAAAUAAGGGAUUAGAAAAUAAGAUGAUCUCUAAGGAUUCUUGCAGCUCUAAUAUGCAAAAAUGCCAGAAAAGGGCUGGAGUGGGGAGGGAAGAUUAUAGUAAGAACUUGAGCUAGGCCUUAAAAGGUAGAAGAGUGGAGGAAGAGGGUCUCCAGGCAGGGCCAGUAGUAGAAGGGUUUGGAAGUAGGAGCACCCACAGCUUUUCAGUGGAAGUCCACACGGCUUUCCAAUUCACUACAUGGGACUUUAACUCUGGGUCGCGAUCAACAUACCAUUUAGUGUUUUAUGAAAACAGACAUCGACUGCUACUUAGAAGUCUGGCUCCAGACAAUCUGUUCAAAUGACUACACAACUGUUUGCUCAGCUGAUCUACUUUUUAAAAUGAACGGGGCAACUUCUUUCCCCCAGCCAAAUAUAGUAAAAAGACACACUGGUUAUUUUCUCUGGAAGGAAAACAGCAUAAACCAAUACAUCUUUAGACAGUUGUCACACACAUUUUUGUUAAAGAGGACUACUGGAAAGGAAGCUGAAUUCAGGUAGCUCUUACAUCACUGCAUAUGUGCACCCACCCACCCAGCCCCACUGCCAGUCCCUGUAAAAAUUAUAGUAAGUCUUCCUUUAAAUUUUAGUUGCUAGUUCUCAACUUCUUAAAAGGUUUGUAAGUCUCGGCAAGAAGUCAGAAAUUCCAACUCUAAAAUGAAUUUUCUGACUCAAUAUUGAAAAUAAAUUCUUAAGUUUAGAUGCUUAGGGGAAAAACAGCUGGAGAAUUCAGGAGCCUCCCAUAUUUUAAUAUGAAGUGACGUCAUUAUGGUCAAGGCUUCCAAGAACUCCCUAAAUUGUGUAGUUAAGCAACAUCUCAAAGCAAAGUAAGGACUCUGGGAAGGUGGUAUAUUCCUCCUUAGUAUACAGAUUCAAUUCCACAAUAAUUUUUCUGUCAGAGACCUGAUUCAAUUUUCUCCUUAGGUUAGAAAGUAGUCCAAUAUUAGAGUACAGUAUAUCAAAUGAUGUGCAUUUUCAAAGCUAAAGCUAUGGAUUUUCUGUGCUUAACACUCUAAAUUAGCUCCCAUUUUAUAGGAUAUCUAGCGAGAAAAGGCUGCUUUCCUCUUCAAAGUAUUUAACUGCAGACUGUAUGGGGUUUCUUUAAAAGUGUGUUUUCAUUUGCAAUUUUAAAAUUCAGGAAAGUAAUCAUACAGAGAAAGUAGGCAAGAUUUUAGAGCACUGGGUAGGUCAAAGUUUAUGGUUCAGAAACUGAGGAUCAUCUCAGUCAAAGGCUAUGGAGAAAAAAAAAUACUGGUGUUGGUUCACAACUAGCCCACCAAUGGCUUAUAUAUCUGUUUAAGGAUGACGAGCUGACUAAAAUGAACUGGAAUUUCUAAGGCACUUCCAUCCUUAUCAUUCAAAUACAAAAACUACAAGGCCACCUGCAAUUCACAUGUGUUAUUUCAAAUGGUGGCUGCUUGUUUUACUCAGAAUUGUCAAUACAUAGGAUUCUUGAUAAACUGUAUUGCCAAGUUUAUUCAUCUGCAGUGCCCUUUACUCACCUGAUGCACCCCUUGCCACUUGUUCUUGUGGACCCCAUGGCAGCAGGGACUUUUAUUCAGUUGCCCACCCCCACUGCACACAAGACAGACAGACAGACAGACACACACACACACACACACACACACGUAUGCACAUGCGCCCCCCCCAAAACACACUUAAGUUCCCCCAAACUGUAUUUGGUAAUCUCCUUACUCAUUUAAAACAUCAAUAUGAGUUAGUUAAGUCAUUUAUGUGUUCAUUUCUUGAGGUUUGAAAAUGGGUUAAAUAGAGCUCAUGUUUGAAAAUAAAACGUUAAAGGAAGCUUCUUUCAGGAUCAGAGAAAUGGUUUGAUAUUCAAGGAACAACAUUUGAAUAAGCAGUUCUAAAGCCAGAUUAAGUUUUUAAGCAGUUGCUAAAAAAUUAAUGAGGUUUAAUGUGACCUAUUUAAAAGAAACAGUUCUUUGUUGUGUUCCAUUACAAGGCUAAUCCGCCUAUGGAAAAUACAAAAAAAAAAAACCAAAAACAAAAAACAAAACAACAACCCAACAUCGUACCUCCUUACCCUUUCCUUAUUGGCUCUUACCUAUCUACGAAAAUCAAGGGAAUUACUUCAGAGGAGGAAGAGAAUAAAGUGGGUCAACAGUGUACAGUUAUGGGGGAGAGCUUCACACCCAACAUUACUGAAGUUUAGCUGGAAAAUUGGGAUUCAUUUUGUCCCCAGAGCAACAGAAGGCCCUCCUUCCCUCUCAUCCUUAGAUGCUGUAGUUCUGACGGUUAGAAGCGGAUAUGGUUCAAGUCUCUCCUUCCUCAAGUCUCACCGUCCUCCUGCCCCUUAUAUAGCGACUCUGUGGUCCUAUCAGGGUGACUUCAGUUCUCCUGAGAGAGGCAUCUUGUAAGCUGAGACAGUUCUGAGACCUACUCCAUCAGGACAAUGCCACAGACCCUGUGGCUGGUCAAUGGAUGUUAAGUGACUGCCAGGGUGGCCUGACCACUCCCAAUGGACCACAAAUGCUGAUCUCAGAAUCUCUGGCACUUUCUAAAAUGUGGCUGAGCAGUAAUUUGGAAGCCUAAACUCUGACUUCAGGAAUUCAUAAGAACAACCAAUGUUUUACAAACUCAACAGAAAGUAAAAUAAACAAACCCAGGGUUUU